rnacentral:lncRNA from 1 species
UCUUGCUUAUUUGUGAUGUUUUGAACCUUUUUUCUAGAUUUAGUCUUUUUCCUAAAAACGUGGCUUCUAAUUGUUAAUUUUUAUGUAAAAUGAUUUUUUCUGACAAUUUUCUCGACUAAAGUGGUCACGUGAUUGACCACACCCAAAAUUGAAAGAAAUAUGAUCAUUUAAGUUACAAGAUGUAAACGUACUAGAAAACUCUCGUUUUUUCUUUCAAAACCUUUACCUUAGCUGGGUAUAUGUCGUUCUAAACGGGGAUUCUGAAAAUGUUUUAUUCUUUUGUCAUUAUUUCCUAUUUUUUCCUAGUCCCAGUCCUCUCCAAUGGAUAUACGUUUUAAUUUUAACAAAAGAAAUAAGUCUAUCAAACCCCGUUUAAUUCUCUAAACUUAGGGGCUAUAGCCAUUCGCAUAAAUCAAAAUUAGUCAAGCAUUACAACUGCAAUCCAUUGUAAAUUUGGCAACAAAGUUAUAUAAACAACUGGGUCUAGCCAAUCACGUGACCAAGCAGCAAAGUUCUUGAAACCAAAACAUAAAAAGCUUCUUUCAAAUACUUCACCCUAUGCAAGUUCAUAAGCGAUAGCUUAAAUAUAAUUUAAAUAAGACCACCCCCUCCAAAAUAUAGCUAGACCCAUUUAGGCUUUGGUAAAUUGUGCUAGCAUAAUUUAAGCAUAAUCUAGCAAAACGAGCAUAACUUUAAACUUUUAUUUCAGUUUAGCACUGCUAGCAUAAUCCGAGCUUUUAUCCGUUGAAAACAACAACAAAAAAAAACAUCAUAGUUCUAGAAUAAUUCAGUUUGUAUUUUAUUUCUGUGUUGUUUUUGGAAAAUAGUGAGGUCUGUGCUAAGGCCCAUGGUCAAAUAUGGUCCGGCAGACUCCAGGUCGCCCUGUGCAUAUCUGAGACUCUCCUCAGGCCACCACGCUUAUGGCUCGGCGGCUCGGCCCCACAGGGCCUCAGAUCAAAGAUGGCGUCGUCCUCGAGUACAUCCACUUCCAGCACUUCCAGCCCUUUCGGCACUUCCAGUGCCGUACCGAGAGCUUCAGUCUCUAAAGAACGUGUUCCUAAAAGUAAUACCGGAAAGUACAAGGAGAGAGGUAACUCGGAUCCAGAGAACAUGAGUCCUCGUGAUCGAAUCGAAGAAUUCCCGGGGAAAAAGACUGUAAGACUGGAAGGUGGACUAUAUGAAUGUUCAAUAACUUCAUUAAAGUCAAAAUUGAUAGAGUUAAGCUACUGGUGAUCUUUAUUUUCCUUAAAAUCUAAGUGGCAUAAUUUCGGUGACAGAGAGCAUAAUUUUCAGAAAGUAGCAUAAUUUUGGCAUAAUUUCUAAAAAACAUGAGCACUGCUAAAAGCAUAGUAUGCUUUUUUUCGGGCACAAUCUACCAAAGCCUAGACCCAUUCCUUAAUUCACUUGAGGCCUUUAAACUUGAGUAAUCCAUUGUAAUUGCGAUACGUUUCGUUACGUGUAGUAAACUUGAUUUAAAGUUUAAUUUGUCGUCUUACGCUCAAGAGUAACUUAGUUUCCAAAGGGGAAAGGAUUUCGAGGCUGCAUUCCAACACCUCUUGCCGCGAAAUACGAUGGACAAUUAAUCUUGGUCAUGAGCAAUAAAAUGCCAACUGAUCAGCUUACAUGGACCAAAGUAAUGCAUAAUUAACAGGUUAGUUCAAGUUUAUUUAUUACUAUCUCUUUGGUGUUUUUCUACUUUAGUGAGCUAUUAUUUUCAGGGCUAAUUUUGUACCUGGCCAAAAUAACUCAAAAUAUCGGGACGGAGCUUCUUCGGUAUGAAAUUCUUCUUGGAGACUUAUCGCUCAGUGAAAAAUGGGACUGUAUGCCGGCUGCAAUAUACUAGGAGAGUAGAGAAUUACCCUGAUACGUUUUUAUUCUUCAGAUUAUGCAGGAUCCCGUCAGCAAUCCAUCGUCAAAAUACACAUUGAAGAUGAAAAAAGACAGCAAGGAUUAUGACGAACAGGUUGAAGUUGACACUGAGAAAUUAAAGAAACAGAGACUUUCCACGUGCCAAAGACUUCACCCGAUGAUGAAGCAGGAGAUAUCGUCUACGACUUUAAGAAGGUUCCAAACGUGGUUUGAGGCGUUGGAUAUGAGAAUUGGUGUGUCGCUAUGUGUGCAGAAGGAUUUGCAAUUCCUUUUCCUACUAUGACUUUUGCUAUGAAAUCUGCUUUAGAGUCUGUCGGUGGGUCAGUGGAUAAAGCUUCCUUUGCCUGCCUUUACCGAGAAAUUUAUGUUAAGUUUUCGCUAAUAUAUAUUAUUAUUUGCUUCGUAAAGAAUACAAUUAGUUUUUUUAAAAUUUGACUGUUGUCAUAGAAGGACAAAAAAUCUAGGGCAAGUUUCACAGUUAAAAUCACUGAUUAAUAUUGUAAGAGAUUUAACUAAGCCAAGCAAAUAAAGCCAUUUAGUUUACCACA